UACGUAGGGGCCGAGCGUUGUCCGGAGUUAUUGGGCGUAAAGCGCGCGCAGGCGGCCUCGCGCGCCCGACGUGAAAGCCCCCGGCUUAACCGGGGAGGGUCGUUGGGGACGGCGGGGCUUGAGGGCGGGAGAGGUCGGUGGAAUUCCCGGUGUAGUGGUGAAAUGCGUAGAGAUCGGGAGGAACACCUGUGGCGAAGGCGACUUCCUGGCCUGUUCUUGACGCUGAGGCGCGAAAGCUAGGGGAGCAAACGGG
rnacentral:rRNA from 1 species